CCAAUGAGAAACGUCGUGGGUGGACUGUCCAACAGAGAAACACGAUAAUUAUCAGCCAAUUCAUCAUUUGUCUGAGUGUUUAUAUGUCUUUGCCUCUUGAAAGGAAGUUCCGUAUCGUGUUCGACACGUCGCUUUAGCUCUCCAACAUCGGCAUCAGAUUGUACCACCACAUCAUAAUCAUUGCCACACCAUUUCACUUGAACAGUAGUUGUCUUGGCGGGCACAUUCUCUUCCAGCAUAUCUGUAUCAGUGGAUGAUGCCAUGUCUGCAAUGUGUAGAGUAGAAUAUAAAGGUAGCAUAUCAGAGGAUGUGUGUGUGUGUCUUUAAUGCUGAUUUGCAUGCCAACAUCCCUAAAAAUAAAUAGACAUGGAUAGAUGGGCGUGUGUGUGUUUAAUGCGGAACGCGCAUGCCAACAAAGGAAAAUGAAGUGUUACUAGUACUCCUACCACUGCGCAUUCACAGUCAGCUUACUGCGCCCUCCAAUUAAUUCAAGCAUCGAAUAAUCUGAAGCAACAACAAGUUUUCGCAUGUUCCUCCCCAUUAGUCAGGCUUCGUAACUACUAAUCGCAAGCCCCAAAUCACAUGCAUUCCCGGUAAAUUAGCAAGCCGAACAUCGAAUAGGACCACGCCAACCUCCAGGUAGGGAUUAUUAUACCUGAGGCUGGCCCCAAUGCAGAGAACUUCAGCAAGAACUUUGGAUCCAACUCAGCAAAAAUUCCUACGUGGCAUUGAUUAAAUGAAGAGAGAGAGCUUUGGAGGAACUUAGCUAGUUCCGGUAACAUAGCGCUGCAUACGAGAAAAAAUUAAUGCUAAUCGAUCCUGUGUGCGGGCGGCCGGACGCAUCGCGAAGCAACCAAGAAAAUCCCCACCCGUGUGACUUUCUCUUCCUCCACGGCUGGGCCUCAUCCUUCUCCCUCCCUGCCGCCUUGGAGCUCCGGCGCCCCGCACUCCGUCUUGCCGGCCGGCGGCGGCUCUGGCAGGCGGCGCAAAGCCACCAGAUUCAUGGCCAAGUCCGGUGCCCGUAAGGACGCCGCGCAAGUCCGGCCAUCGGCCACCUCGCCGCCGCCGCAUCACUUCCCCGGCGCCACAGCAAGCUCGUACGCCAGCCGCUCUCCACAGCUUCUCUUCUACCCCGGCGCCCCGACAAGAUCCUCGGCCAGCCCCUCGACACCGCCACACCUGUACCCGCCUCUCAUGGAAUCCUCCUCAGCCAACCCUACAUGGUAUAAAAUUUCUGCUUUAAUUCAAUCUUUGGCAAUUACAAUUUCUCUAGCUCGAGUAUGCAGCAUUAUGCAAUUCUAUUUGGGUUAUAGAGCAGCAUUAGGUAAUUGUAAUUUCUAUAGCUCGAGUACCUGAUUCAGCAUGUGUGCGUGUUGAAGCAGAGAGACUCUGAAGUCUUAGCCUUAAUUUCUGUAGCAUUAGACCAUUGCAAUUCUUCAGGUUUUUGCUUGCUGAAUCGGAUUUCGCUGUGGACGUAGCAGGAUAUGCAAGUCCCCCGUGAUGUGUGUCUGUGUGCUUAUUGUGCAAACGGUUUACUGCUAUAUCAGACACUUGAACUUGGAUGUGCUUCGCUUGUUUGUUUGUACUUUUUUCUUGCAAUGAUUAGAACAGACAAAAGUUUCUAAUAGCAAGCUUUGGAGGCCAUAUUAUUUCCCGAAGAAGCUUCAGGUAUUGUUAUUUUCUGUCUUUCGACUGGUUAAUUCCCAAGCACAUGUACUCAUUUCAAGCAUCUCCAAGCAACUACUGACUAUUUUAUUUGUCUACAGUUUGACAAGUUGAUCAAGGUGAAUAGCAUGAUUUUUGGUUCAGCUAAUUAUUCAGGUGAUUGAAGGGAAAAAGUGGUGCACUAUGAAGCAUAUUAGAAAUUGGCUCGGUCAGUUUGUUGUGUGAACCUGAUGGAUCGUUCAUCACUUUUGUUGUCCGGUCAGUUUAUUGUGUGCACCGAUCGGCUACUCUAAAAUUGAUGUGAACGUGAUGGUUUGCUGUUAGCUUUUGGACUGAUCAGCUACUACUAUUGUCAGUUACCUUUUAUGAAUCAUCGGUGAAGCUACUCUAAUUGAUGUGCGUUACUGUUACCUGAUGGACCGAUCAGCUACUA